rnacentral:lncRNA from 1 species
AUGGCACAUCAAGCUCUGGGCGGGGACCUUGCGCAUUCCCGCCCACAAGAGGAGCCACCCACUGCCUCCCUUCACCUUGGCCAUGAACCGGCUCCGGAAGCUGGAAUUCAGGAUGAACCUCACGAAGCCCAUCGGAUGCAUCCAGUACAAGCUGCCCCUGGACUACGGGCCCGACCCGGGCAUCUACGGCUCCUGGUGGCGCCACCUCAUCUACAUCAGCUUCCUGCCGGGGAGGGAGCACGCCAUCGCCUACUUCAAGGUCAAGGUGGACACCAUCAACCACUACAUGAUGAUGCUCAUGGGUGCGUCCAGCCCUUGCCACACGCAUGCAAUGUGGCCGUGGACCCCGGGUGCUUGAGCUUGGAGCAGCUGCCCAGGCCUCCUGCCCCACUCCCUCCAGUUCCCAGCCCCGAGCCCAGCCUGCGGGCAGGACUCGCGGUGCGAGGGGAGGAGCAAGCUCUGUGUCUCCCGGUUCCAGCAGCCACGCCCACUCAGGACACCCCUGGGCCUGCCCUCUGUGCUGGCGGGAACUCAGGCUGGAACGGGGGGCACAAAGACCCCUGCCCGGUGGCUCAGGUGGAAACCCUGAGGCCGACCUCAUGGGCCCUUGGGGCCGCCCAGCUCCACUCCUCUGAACCCGAGCCACCUGCCCCACCUCCCUCUUCUCCUCCUGGCCACCCUGCUCUGAUGCUGGGUGCCUCUCUGUCCUGUGAGUGCUGACCCCUCCUCGCCUGUCUCCUGCUCUGGGCAGGACCCCUCCUCACACAGCAGGACUCGUGGGGGGUGCAUAGGGCAGGGGCUGGGGCUCUGUGCACGAUGCUGGCCAGGAGGGGCCCGGGGGCAGCCUC